rnacentral:rRNA from 1 species
AUUGAACGCUGGCGGCAGGCCUAACACAUGCAAGUCGAGCGGAUGAAGGGAGCUUGCUCCUGGAUUCAGCGGCGGACGGGUGAGUAAUGCCUAGGAAUCUGCCUGGUAGUGGGGGAUAACGUCCGGAAACGGGCGCUAAUACCGCAUACGUCCUGAGGGAGAAAGUGGGGGAUCUUCGGACCUCACGCUAUCAGAUGAGCCUAGGUCGGAUUAGCUAGUUGGUGGGGUAAAGGCCUACCAAGGCGACGAUCCGUAACUGGUCUGAGAGGAUGAUCAGUCAAAGUGGAAAUGGGAAACGGUCGAGACUACUAAGGGAGGAAGAAGUGGGGAAGAUUGGAGAAGGGGCGAAAGCCUGAUCCAGCCAUGCCGCGUGUGUGAAGAAGGUAUUCGAAUUUUAAAGCACUUUAAGUUGGGAGGAAGGGCAGGAAGUUAAUACCUUGCUGGUUUGACGUGACCAACAGAAUAAGCACAGGCUAACUUCGGG